UGAAGGACGUGCUAAUCUGCGAUAAGCGUCGGUAAGGUGAUAUGAACCGUUAUAACCGGCGAUUUCCGAAUGGGGAAACCCAGUGUGUUUCGACACACUAUCAUUAACUGAAUCCAUAGGUUAAUGAGGCGAACCGGGGGAACUGAAACAUCUAAGUACCCCGAGGAAAAGAAAUCAACCGAGAUUCCCCCAGUAGCGGCGAGCGAACGGGGAGCAGCCCAGAGCCUGAAUCAGUAUGUGUGUUAGUGGAAGCGUCUGGAAAGGCGCGCGAUACAGGGUGACAGCCCCGUACACAAAAAUGCACAUGCUGUGAGCUCGAUGAGUAGGGCGGGACACGUGGUAUCCUGUCUGAAUAUGGGGGGACCAUCCUCCAAGGCUAAAUACUCCUGACUGACCGAUAGUGAACCAGUACCGUGAGGGAAAGGCGAAAAGAACCCCGGCGAGGGGAGUGAAAAAGAACCUGAAACCGUGU
rnacentral:rRNA from 1 species